AGAAAAUCUGGAAAACGGGAAGGAAGAAAAGAAGCCCCCUGACUCCUCCCUGAGCCCCAGACAGCCCAUGAACUGCCUUCCUGGGAAUGGUAGGACAGGAUGGACUCUGGAUUGCUCCCUCUGGAUGUGUGGAACUCCAGGAACUCCUGGUGCCGCCUGGGCCGAUGGAUUGGACGCCCCAGCCCCUCCGUUCCUGCCCAGCCCCUGGGUCUGUGUCCAGUGGUGGCACUGCCAGCCCUGCAGUGGGAUGUAGCCUGGAAACUGCACAGAGCUGAGCCAAGGGAUUGAAAGGGACCAACCAAGGGAGGUGAAGAAAGAAUUAAAGUGAGGCAGCAGCCAAGCAGCAGCAAGUUGCUGUGUAAGCAGGCCAGGCCAAAGCCCUGAUCCAGCCCAGCUCUGCCAAGUGCCCUGGGCUGGGAGCAGCCAAAGGCAAGAGGCUGCAGCCCCGCCGGCCGGGCUGGGGGCUCCUGGUGCUGCCCGUGGGGUGGGGUAAGUCAGAGGGACACGUUUCUCUCCUCCU